ensembl:lncRNA
CAUAAGUGAAUAUUUAGUGUAUAGUGUAUUAGUGUAUAGUUGCAUAGUGACUAUUUAGUGUAUAGUUUAUAAGUGUAUAGUGUAUAUGUGAAUAGUGUAUAAGUGAAUAUUUAGUGUAUAGUGUAUAAGUGUAUAGUGUAUUAGUGUAUAGUGCAUAAGUGAACAUUAGUGUAUAGUGUUUAUGUGUAUAGUGUAUAAGUGAAUAUUUAGUGUAUAGUGUUAUAAGUGUAUAGUAUAUACAUGAAUAGUGUAUAAGUGAAUAUUUAGUGUAUAGUGUAUAAGUGUAUAGUGUAUAUGUGAAUAGUGUAUAAGUGAAUAUUUAGUGUAUAGUGUAUAAGUAAAUAGUGUAUAAGUGAAUAUAUUAUAUUGAAAAAUCGUGAAAUCCUCCUGCUAGCCUGUUUAAAUGAUUUAUACACCAUUCUAAAAUAAAAUAAUAAUUUUACGCACCAGUUCUCGGCUUAUGAUUGUUACAUGAAUUCGUUCAUUUCGAUCACUGAACUUUGAACACAGCUAUUUAUUUACCUUUUACACCAUCUCAGGUGUGAUAAUGAUAAUGAGAACACAUCAGUCAAAGUGUGCUGGUGCUGAGGGUGCACAAACUUCUGCACUCGUCGCCACACAAACUUUGCGUUAAACUCGUAAAUUAGCGUACCUUUUGCUCGGGUCUUUGUUGAGUGAGGUCCUGGUUUGGUAGCUGUACCGUCCCGGUCCCCAGGUCCCCAGAACCCCGCACACCAAACACACCAGCAGCAGGAGCACGCAGCGGGAAAAGAACCGGUGAAGCGCGGACACCGAGCCUGCGGGACACGCGCCCAUCACAGCAACGUCAAACACACACACACACACACACACACACACACACACUCUCCCGAUACUGUUUCCGCACGGAUCCCGUUAAUCUUGAGUGCAGGCUGGUCAGGAAGAAAGAAGUUUCUUCUAAAACUGAUACAAAAAAUAAAUCUAUAUAUAAAUAUAAAUAUAUAUCAGGAGUCUGGAGCUGCGCAAAAAAAGACCUAAAAUGUGCAAAAUAUUAAAAAUGAAUCAGCGAGUUUUGUCCCGAAAUCCAGCAGAAAGGAAACGAAAUCGUGUGGAAGUUCCUCCAGUUCCUUCACUCCUCCUCACAUCUCCAGCACUUUUGACAAGAGCAACCCAACAGAGCAGCUUUAUAGCGUCCUCGCGCUCUGUGUGUGUGUGUGUGUGUGUGUGUGUGUGUGUGGGCGUGUUUUUAUAUCUUGGUGGGGAGAAAUUUUCACUGAAAUAUCUGACAAGUUUCGAGUUUGUGAGGACAUUUGGCUGGUCCCAGACAAGGAAGACAUUUUGAACAAAACAACAGAAAUAACAAUUAAAAAGUAAUACAAAUAAAUAAACAAGCGAAAUAUUUCCUUUAGGUCAUUAGGGUUGAGGUUAGGGUUAGAUUGAUGUGUAGAAUGGCAUUAAUUAGUUUAAUUUAAUAGUUAUGUCAGUGGUAGGUCCUCAUAAGCGUAGUAAGACAGAUGUGUGUGUGUGUGUGUGUGUGUGUGUGCGCGCGUGCAAUUCAUCAGCCAACCCCAUUCCUUCACCCAGCUUCCUGUCUACUCACAUACACACACACACACACACACACACACACACACACACACUUUGGCUGAGUCCCCAGACCGCACAACUCCCCCACUAACACAAUGUCAAAUCACAACACCGCAAACCUGCUGCCA